rnacentral:rRNA from 1 species
UGCAAGUCGUGACGGUGUCACAGGAGGAGCUUGCUCCUCGGGUGACGAGUGGCGGACGGGUGAGUAAUGUCUGGGAAACUGCCCGAUGGAGGGGGAUAACUACUGGAAACGGUAGCUAAUACCGCAUAACGUCGCAAGACCAAAGUGGGGGACCUCCGGGCCUCACACCAUCGGAUGUGCCCAGAUGGGAUUAGCUAGUAGGCGGGGUAACGGCCCACCUAGGCGACGAUCCCUAGCUGGUCUGAGAGGAUGACCAGCCACACUGGAACUGAGACACGGUCCAGACUCCUACGGGAGGCAGCAGUGGGGAAUAUUGCACAAUGGGCGCAAGCCUGAUGCAGCCAUGCCGCGUGUAUGAAGAAGGCCUUCGGGUUGUAAAGUACUUUCAGCGGGGAGGAAGGUGGUGAGGUUAAUAACCUCAGCAAUUGACGUUACCCGCAGAAGAAGCACCGGCUAACUCCGUGCCAGCAGCCGCGGUAAUACGGAGGGUGCAAGCGUUAAUCGGAAUUACUGGGCGUAAAGCGCACGCAGGCGGUCUGUUAAGUCAGAUGUGAAAUCCCCUGGCUUAACCUGGGAACUGCAUUUGAAGCUGGCAGGCUUGAGUCUCGUAUAGGGGGGUAGAAUUCCAGGUGUAGCGGUGAAAUGCGUAUAGAUCUGGAGGAGUACAGGUGGCGAAUGCGGCCCCCUG